AGUGAACGCUGGCGGUAGGCCUAACACAUGCAAGUCGAACGGCAGCACAGUAAGAGCUUGCUCUUACGGGUGGCGAGUGGCGGACGGGUGAGGAAUACAUCGGAAUCUACUUUUUCGUGGGGGAUAACGUAGGGAAACUUACGCUAAUACCGCAUACGACCUACGGGUGAAAGCAGGGGAUCUUCUGACCUUGCGCGAUUGAAUGAGCCGAUGUCGGAUUAGCUAGUUGGCGGGGUAAAGGCCCACCAAGGCGACGAUCCGUAGCUGGUCUGAGAGGAUGAUCAGCCACACUGGAACUGAGACACGGUCCAGGCUCCUACGGGAGGCAGCAGUGGGGAAUAUUGGACAAUGGGCGCAAGCCUGAUCCAGCCAUACCGCGUGGGUGAAGAAGGCCUUCGGGUUGUAAAGCCCUUUUGUUGGGAAAGAAAAGCAGCAGGUUAAUACCCCGCUGUUCUGACGGUACCCAAAGAAUAAGCACCGGCUAACUUCGUG
rnacentral:rRNA from 1 species